rfam:Camelus ferus unplaced genomic scaffold scaffold465, whole genome shotgun sequence.
GAGGGUAUAGCUCAGUGGUAGAGCACAUGCAUAGCAAGCACGGGGUCCUGGGUUCAAUCCCCAGGGCCUCCA